ACAUCUAGGGGAAGGAGGAAUUCUACACUGUCACACUUGCACCACGUCAUCAAUAACAAGCCAAUCACAUUCAUUCUUUUUAAACAAAAGUACAAUAAAAAUAUUUUUUUACAAUCAUGAUGGGACAUAUAUUCUUAAAAGAAUUAAUUUGAUUGGUUUGUUACGCCACGUCACUAAUAUACCCGUUGCAUUCUAGAAUUUUUCCUAGGGGAAGAU
rnacentral:lncRNA from 1 species